rnacentral:rRNA from 1 species
CACCGCGGUCACACAAGAGACCCAAAUUAACUGUAACGCGGCGUAAAGAGUGGCACCAUGCUAUCACAGUAACUAGGAUCAAAGUGUAACUGAGCUGUCAUAAGCUUAAGAUACACCUAAAACCACCCUAAACAUGAUCCUAGCUCUUGCGAUCGAUUAAAUGUCACGAAAGCUAGGGUA